rnacentral:rRNA from 1 species
UGAGGAAUAUUGGUCAAUGGGCGAGAGCCUGAACCAGCCAAGUAGCGUGCAGGAUGACGGCCCUAUGGGUUGUAAACUGCUUUUAUGUGGGGAUAAAGUGCGUGACGUGUCAUGCAUUGCAGGUACCACAUGAAUAAGGACCGGCUAAUUCCGUGCCAGCAGCCGCGGUACUACGGAAGGUCCGGGCGUUAUCCGGAUUUAUUGGGUUUAAAGGGAGCGUAGGCUGUCUAUUAAGCGUGUUGUGAAAUAUACCGGCUCAACCGGUGGCUUGCAGCGCGAACUGGUCGACUUGAGUAUGCAGGAAGUAGUCGGAAUUCAUGGUGUAGCGGUGACAUGCUUAGAUAUCAUGACGAACUCCGAUUGCGCAGGCAGCUUACUGUAGCAUAACUGACGCUGAUUCUCGAAAGUGCGUGUAUCAAACAGG